rnacentral:tRNA from 5 species
GGCGAGAUAGCUCAGUUGGCUAGAGCACACGGUUCAUACCCGUGGUGUCGAGGGUUCGAAUCCCCCUCUCGCUAC